AUGAACGCUGGCGGCGUGCCUAAUACAUGCAAGUCGAGCGAACAGAUGAGGAGCUUGCUCCUCUGACGUUAGCGGCGGACGGGUGAGUAACACGUGGAUAACCUACCUAUAAGACUGGGAUAACUUCGGGAAACCGGAGCUAAUACCGGAUAAUAUAUUGAACCGCAUGGUUCAAUAGUGAAAGACGGUUUUGCUGUCACUUAUAGAUGGAUCCGCGUCGCAUUAGCUAGUUGGUAAGGUAACGGCUUACCAAGGCAACGAUGCGUAGCCGACCUGAGAGGGUGAUCGGCCACACUGGAACUGAGACACGGUCCAGACUCCUACGGGAGGCAGCAGUAGGGAAUCUUCCGCAAUGGGCGAAAGCCUGACGGAGCAACGCCGCGUGAGUGAUGAAGGUCUUCGGAUCGUAAAACUCUGUUAUUAGGGAAGAACAAAUGUGUAAGUAACUAUGCACGUCUUGACGGUACCUAAUCAGAAAGCCACGGCUAACUACGUG
rnacentral:rRNA from 1 species